rnacentral:rRNA from 1 species
GACGAACGCUGGCGGCGUGCCUAAUACAUGCAAGUCGAGCGAGCUUGCCUAGAUGAAUUUGGGUGCUUGCACCAGAUGAAACUAGAUACAAGCGAGCGGCGGACGGGUGAGUAACACGUGGGUAACCUGCCCAAGAGACUGGGAUAACACCUGGAAACAGAUGCUAAUACCGGAUAACAACACUAGACGCAUGUCUAGAGUUUAAAAGAUGGUUCUGCUAUCACUCUUGGAUGGACCUGCGGUGCAUUAGCUAGUUGGUAAGGUAACGGCUUACCAAGGCAAUGAUGCAUAGCCGAGUUGAGAGACUGAUCGGCCACAUUGGGACUGAGACACGGCCCAAACUCCUACGGGAGGCAGCAGUAGGGAAUCUUCCACAAUGGACGCAAGUCUGAUGGAGCAACGCCGCGUGAGUGAAGAAGGGUUUCGGCUCGUAAAGCUCUGUUGGUAGUGAAGAAAGAUAGAGGUAGUAACUGGCCUUUAUUUGACGGUAAUUACUUAGAAAGUCACGGCUAACUACGUGCCAGCAGCCGCGGUAAUACGUAGGUGGCAAGCGUUGUCCGGAUUUAUUGGGCGUAAAGCGAGUGCAGGCGGUUCAAUAAGUCUGAUGUGAAAGCCUUCGGCUCAACCGGAGAAUUGCAUCAGAAACUGUUGAACUUGAGUGCAGAAGAGGAGAGUGGAACUCCAUGUGUAGCGGUGGAAUGCGUAGAUAUAUGGAAGAACACCAGUGGCGAAGGCGGCUCUCUGGUCUGCAACUGACGCUGAGGCUC